AUUGAACGCUGGCGGCAGGCCUAACACAUGCAAGUCGACCGAGUGGCGGACGGGUGCGUCAUGUCUGUGAAACUGCCUGAUGGAGGGGGAUAACUACUGUAAACGGUAGCUAAUACCGCAUACCCUCGGAUGUGCCCAGAGGGGAUUAGCUCGUAGGUGGGGGAAAGGCUCACCUAGGCGACGAUCCCUAGCUGGUCUGAGAGGAUGACAAGACACACUGGAACUGAGACACGGUCCAGACGCCGACGGGAGGCAGCAGUGGGGAAUAGUGCACAAUGGGCGCAAGCCUGAUGCAGACAGGCCGCGUGUAUGAAGAAGGCCUUCGGGUUGUAAAGUACUGUCAGCGGGGAGGCGUUCACCGCAGAAGAAGCACCGGCUAACUCCGUGCCAGCCGCCGCGGUAAUAC
rnacentral:rRNA from 1 species